AAGUGUGGCUUGAUGAUUUUUUGGAUGACCUUCCCUGAAUAGAGGAGGACUGGUCUUCGGUCAAGGGUAUACGAGUAGCUGCGAUCCCUUGCUAGAACCUCCAAACAAGCUCUCAGCACCAUCUUUGACAGGCUCUUGUGCCCUACACUAGAGACAUAAUCUUACAUUUGUAUCAAUAUCCAAAAAUAUCUUAAAAAUGAGUUUAAACAUUU
ensembl:misc_RNA 7SK 7SK RNA